UUUGAGGGUUGGAACUUCCUCCGGGCUGAGGAAUGUUGUUUAUCUUAUCUGUGGUGUUCGGCUUGAGCAUUCGCUGAAGAUGGACUAUGAAUGCUAUGCUCUCAAGCCGAGAAAUGCAAACUGUAAAUAGACAUGUAAAUAAAGUUAAUCAACAGUUGGACUUCGUCUGCUGGAGUGUCUGUUUGACCAGUGCUGUUUCUCAGCAUGGGAAUACAGUCUGGAGAAGGAGUUUAUAGGUUCGCAGUGUCAGUUUGCUGAAAUGUGGUUUCUAUGACGCGAGUCUAUGGACAAUGCCAGCUCUUCGGCUUAGAAAUGGAGAUGAGCACCAACCCCCAG
rnacentral:lncRNA from 11 species